GUGCACGCUGGCGGUCGGCCUAAACAUUCCAAGCCAAAGGGAACACCGUAAAAGCUUGCUCCUAAGGGGUGGGGGGGGGGGGAGGGGGGGGGAUAACAUCGGAUCUUCUUUUUUGGGGGGGGAAAAGGAAGGGAACUUAAGCUAAAACCCCAUUACGCCUAAGGGGGAAAGGCGGGGGAUUUUGGACCUUUCGCCGUUGGAUUGGCCCGAUGUCGGAUUAGCUAGUUGGCGGGGUAAAGGCCCACCAAGGCGACGAUCCGUAGCUGGUCUGAGAGGAUGAUCAGCCACACUGGAACUGAGACACGGUCCAGACUCCUACGGGAGGCAGCAGUGGGGAAUAUUGGACAAUGGGCGCAAGCCUGAUCCAGCCAUACCGCGUGGGUGAAGAAGGCCUUCGGGUUGUAAAGCCCUUUUGUUGGGAAAGAAAAGCAGCAGGUUAAUACCCCGCUGUUCUGACGGUACCCAAAGAAUAAGCACCGGCUAACUUCGUG
rnacentral:rRNA from 1 species